GACGUCUUUUAAUUUUUUGAAGACCUUUUUCGAAAGGUAUGCUUAAAGAGGGGCUUGCGACACAUUAGUUAGUUGGUAGGGGUAAAAGCCUACCAAGACUAUGAUGUGUAGCUGGACUGAGAGGUCGAACAGCCACAUUGGGACUGAGACACGGCCCAAACUCCUACGGGAGGCAGCAGUAGGGAAUUUUCGGCAAUGGAGGAAACUCUGACCGAGCAACGCCGCGUGAACGAUGAAGUAUUUCGGUAUGUAAAGUUCUUUUAUUGAAGAAGAAAAAAUAGUGGAAAAACUAUAUUGACGCUAUUCAAUGAAUAAGCCCCGGCAAACUAUGUGCCAGCAGCCGCGGUAAUACAUAGGGGGCAAGCGUUAUCCGGAAUUAUUGGGCGUAAAGGGUGCGUAGGCGGUUUAAUAAGUCUGUAGUUUAAUUUCAGUGCUUAACACUGUCCUGCUAUAGAAACUAUUAGACUAGAGUGAGAUAGAGGUAAGCGGAAUUCCAUGUGUAGCGGUAAAAUGCGUAAAUAUAUGGAGGAACACCAGAGGCGUAGGCGGCUUACUGGGUCUUUACUGACGCUGAGGCACGAAAGCGUGGGGAGCAAACAGGAUUAGAUACCCUGGUAGUCCACGCCGUAAACGAUGAGUACUAAGUGUCGGGGAAACUCGGUACUGAAGUUAACACAUUAAGUACUCCGCCUGAGUAGUACGUACGCAAGUAUGAAACUUAAAGGAAUUGACGGGACUCCGCACAAGCGGUGGAUCAUGUUGUUUAAUUCGAAGAUACACGAAAAACCUUACCAGGUCUUGACAUACUCUGCAAAGCUAUAGCAAUAUAGUGGAGGUUAUCAGGGAUACAGGUGGUGCAUGGUUGUCGUCAGCUCGUGUCGUGAGAUGUUAGGUUAAGUCCUAAAACGAGCGCAACCCUUAUCGUUAGUUACCAGCAUGUUAUGAUGGGGACUUUAACGAGACUGCCAAUGAAAAAUUGGAGGAAGGUGAGUAUCACGUCAAAUCAUCAUGCCCCUUAUGAUCUGGGCUACAAACGUGAUACAAUGGCUGUUACAAAGAGUAGCUAAAACGCGAGUUUAUAGCCAAUCUCAAAAAAACAGUCUCAGUUCGGAUUGAAGUCUGCAACUCGACUUCAUGAAGUUGGAAUCGCUAGUAAUCGCGAAUCAGCAUGUCGCGGUGAAUACGUUCUC
rnacentral:rRNA from 1 species